rnacentral:rRNA from 1 species
AUUAAACGCUGGCGGCAUGCCUUACACAUGCAAGUCGAACGGUAGCGCGGGGCAACCUGGCGACGAGUGGCGAACGGGUGAGUAAAGCAUCGGAACGUGCCCUGGAAUGGGGGAUAACGUAGCGAAAGUUACGCUAAUACCGCAUAUUCUGUGAGCAGGAAAGCAGGGGAUCGCAAGACCUUGCGUUCUGGGAGCGGCCGAUGUCGGAUUAGCUAGUUGGUGGGGUAAAAAGCCUACCAAGGCGACGAUCCGUAGCGGGUCUGAGAGGAUGAUCCGCCACACUGGGACUGAGACACGGCCCAGACUCCUACGGGAGGCAGCAGUGGGGAAUUUUGGACAAUGGGCGAAGCCUGAUCCAGCCAUGCCGCGUGAGUGAAGAAGGCC